CCUACGGGAGGCAGCAGUGAGGAAUAUUGGUCAAUGGACGCAAGUCUGAACCAGCCAUGCCGCGUGCAGGAAGACGGCUCUAUGAGUUGUAAACUGCUUUUGUACGAGGGUAAACGCAGAUACGCGUAUCUGUCUGAAAGUAUCGUACGAAUAAGGAUCGGCUAACUCCGUGCCAGCAGCCGCGGUAAUACGGAGGAUUCAAGCGUUAUCCGGAUUUAUUGGGUUUAAAGGGUGCGUAGGCGGUCGGAUAAGUUAGAGGUGAAAUCCCGAGGCUCAACUUCGGAAUUGCAUCUGAUACUGUUAGGCUAGAGACUAGUUGAGGUAGGCGGAAUGUAUGGUGUAGCGGUGAAAUGCUUAGAGAUCAUACAGAACACCGAUUGCGAAGGCAGCUUACCAAGCUACUUCUGACGUUGAGGCACGAAAGCGUGGGGAGCAAACAGGAUUAGAUACCCGUGUAGUC
rnacentral:rRNA from 1 species